rnacentral:lncRNA from 1 species
UGUAUUGGUGCAUGCUAACUCGGAGGUUGCUGCUAUUUUAUAUUUAAUUUGUCUCUGUCGACCAAUCUUUGAGAAAAUUCAAUGGCAUGCCACAUCAAGAAAAAAAUAUUCCUACCCAAAAAUUUGGAAUAAUAUGAAGAGGAUUUCAUCUUCAUACGCAAUGCAAGCAUCCAGACUCACACAGUGCGUGUAUUGGUGCAUGCUCACUCGGAGGUUGCUGCUAUUUUAUAUUUAAUUUGUCUCUGUCGACCAAUCUUUGAGAAAAUUCAAUGGCAUGCCACAUCAAGAAAAAAAAUUCCUACCCAAAAAUUUGGAAUAAUAUGAAGAGGAUUUUCAUCUUCAUACGCAAUGCAAGCAUCCAGACCCACACUAGUUCUUGUGUGAUUCUUUAGUUUUCGGAAAUUUAGAAUUUUCAAAAUCUCUAUGUAUUUUAAUUUUCACUUAAUCUUUUAGAAAAGAGAACUAAUUUCACACUCCCAUUUUAG